rnacentral:rRNA from 1 species
UACGUAGGGGGCUAGCGUUGUCCGGAAUCAUUGGGCGUAAAGAGCGUGUAGGCGGUCCGGUAAGUCCGCUGUGAAAGUCGGGGGCUCAACCCUCGAAUGCCGGUGGAUACUGCCGGGCUAGAGUCCGGAAGAGGCGAGUAGAAUUCCUGGUGUAGCGGUGGAAUGCGCAGAUAUCAGGAGGAAUACCCAUAGCGAAGGCAGCUCGCUGGGACGGUACUGACGCUGAGGCGCGAAAGCGUGGGGAGCGAACAGG